ACUUUUUUUUGCUGAUGAACUGUAUAAAUGAGUGUCUAAUAGUGUUUUAAAUGUGUGCAUUCUUUAUUUUAGCAUUUUGGUGCAUUUUCUUUAAAAAUUAAAAAUUCUGUCUAAAAACCACAGUAAUGCGCCACCUUCAGCUGAAAACAUAGAAUUUGAGUCAUUUUGAAUAAAUUUUAGCCAAUGGCUAAAGAGUAAAGUACUACGUCAACCAGUAGAGUACUACGUAGCAGCUCCGUGCCAAAGUUAUAAAAGCAACGAGCGUCUCGGCCACGCCCUGUGGCGAGUGGGAGUUGGAUUUGCAAGCGAGUGUAGGAGGUCAGCGGUAGUUCAGCAUUAGCGUAUAGCAUUAGCAUAUCCUAGUCUUUAGCAUAUCUUUUAGUGUUAUAAAUACUUAUUUAGUGUUAGCUUGGCUGUUGUAUAUUAUAGUUUAGUUAGUGUUUGGCUGUUAGUGUAAUUGGGAAAGUAGUUCGGGUUUAGUGUUCCAUAUCGUCUUAGUAUUGGUGAGUAGGUGUAGUGUAGUAUGGUUGCGGUGACUCUGUGGGCAUUUUACCCGCGAUUCUGCACGUCUCCGUUUGAAGAGGGAGGCUGUGCCCACCGUGGCUCUUCCGCGAUUUAGAUGCAGCCCACCGACUCUGCUCCCCCACCACGGCGGGCUCCAGUCUGAGGCUAAAUCUACCCAAGACACUGGCUGUCAGACUGAUUUAGCUGCAUGAAUGUACUUGUCCAGGCUGAUGUGAAACCUUCCCUGUAGCAAAGCCAGCCAGAAUGGAGUUCACAGCCGCAGUGUGUCUGGUGACCCACGGGGACCAUGAUGAAAAUUCAUCUUCCAGAAGGUCCCAGAGCGUCCAGACCCCCUGAAAAGACCAAGGUGUGAGGUGUCUGCUGUUGAUUCCAGCUUCCACCUCAGUGACAGUGCAAGCUCAGUGAACUGUUCAAGCCUGGCUGAUCACCUGAUAACUCCUGUCAUCUGGUUAUGACAGCAUGAGGAUGUCCUCACACACCUGUAACCUAUCAGCUCAUCUGGCAGAAUAGAGAGAGAAGAGACAACACCACAUCUCCUGUUCCUGGAAAGCCUUCAGCCUUCCUUCGAUGACUGAGAACCUCCAUCAGCUCUGUCUCCUGUCUGCCUACAAUUAUUAUAAUAAAUAUUGUGUUUGACAA